rnacentral:lncRNA from 1 species
GUGAGUCCUGCGAGAUAAUGAAAUAUCUUUAUUGGUUAAGUCAGGCGUUGGCAAACUUUUUCUGUCCAUGGCCAGAUAGUAAAUGUUUCCAGCUUUCCAAGUCAACCGCUCGACCCUGCCAUUAUAGUGUGAAAGCAGCAACAGACACGCAAAUGAUGGUGUGUGGCAGGGUUCCGAUAGAAAUUGAUUUAUAGACACCGAAAUGUGAAUUUUGUAUAAUUUUCACAUCACAAAAUAUUAUUUCUUUUGAUUUGUUUCAACUGUUCAGACUGUAAAAAUUAUUUUUAGCUCACUGGCUGCACAAAAGCAGGUGGCAAGCUGAGUUUGGCCCGUGGGCUGUACUUUGCUGGCCCCUGGGUGAAGUCACUGCCAAUGGGUUUUCAGUUACUGGAAGCCAAGUGCCUUCUAGAUGAUUCUGCCAUCCAACCUUCCCUUUCACAGAUGACAAAGCUGAGGUCCAGAAGACGACACACAUCCUCUGUGAGUCAGGGCUAAUAAAUCUGGAUCCCAAAGCUCUUGAUCACAGUCCAGGAUUUUCCCAGGAUACAGCACGGCUUCCUACACCUUCACACGCCAUUUAUGCUGCUUUCUCCUGGGCUGUGGCUCGUUGCCUUAUGUAUGUGAUUGCAUUUCACUCACACCAAAUACGUCGAGGGCCAAGAGGGCGCUCACCUUCGCUGAGGACCUACCCCAUGCCAGGCACUUUGGGUCAUUUAAUCCCACAAGUGUGAGGCAGAUAUUGUUAUACUCACGUCACAGAGGAGGAAACAGAGGUUCCGAGAGGGCUGCCCGGUGCCCAGGUUCAGAGCCCCUCCCGCCGCAUCGCACCUGCUCCCACGCUCCAGGGCCCAGCGCCGGGGGCACCCUAAUGAAGAAGACGUGGACCAUUUUCUUCGGCCGCUGAAUAUGUCCAAGGAGACCCUGGCGGAGCACGCAGACAGUUCUUUUCCUUUCCGAAGUUUUAUUCUGCUAAAGACAGCCGCUUUCUCCCGGUUCUCGGUGGAGCUGGGACGAGACCAGGGGAAACGAUGAGGGGACAUUCACCGUCUUGGCCGCUAGAGGGCAGCAAGAGGCCGCGUCCGAGAAGCCGCUCCAGGCCUUCGCUCCCCGGUUCCUUGAGUCCAGUCACAAGUUCAUGGGAAACGGGGGGAGAAGAUGCUUCAGCCUUUUGCUCCCAAAUCCUCAUUUUUAUGAUGGAAAAAAUGGGAUCCCACAGGGGUCAGGUUGCUGCCCUGGGAUCAGACGUCGGUUAUCAUGAAGUCAGCAAGUCUUAAUUGACUGUUCCUUAGGCGGCACGUUGCUCCACCCGCGCGCUCAGGCCGCCGCGGUCCAGCAGUGGGCGGGGCUGGCCGUCCAGCGAGCAUGUGGACGAGAAGUCAUCGAAUCAACCAAAUUAUCAGAGAUUGUGGGGACGGGCCUGGCGGGGAGGGUCGGGAGCCAGAGCUGCGCGGAGGAGGCAUUUCCAUCUGAAGAUGAAAAGCAGCCGGGCUUUCAAGGAGCUGGGGGACGGGAAUUCCAGGGACAGGGGCUGCGACAGGGCGAGGGCCUGACGUGCUGGGAACUGGGAGUCCAGCAGGGUGGCCGUGUGACCGGGUGGAGCUGGGGAAGGAAGGAGAGGGGACAAUUCAGUGAUGUGAUGAUGACGUGGACUGAACAUUGCCUGGGACGAAGCACGGUGUGGGGUGCCUUCUCUCACUGCAUCGCCACCACCAUCUAUGGCCUGCACGCUAUGAUUAUCCCCAUUUUACAGCCUCCGAGGGGUUAAGCCACUUGGCCAAGGCCGCACAGCCUGGAAGGGGCCUGGCUGGGAUUUGAACCGGGGUCUGCCUGACCCCAGCACCCACGCUCAUCCUCACCGUCCCAAACAAAGGCAGAGGAAGACUGGAACUGAGGUCCUGUCUCCCGGCCGGGACUCUCCCCGUGACCUUCUCUUCCCCUUGCCUUUUAGGAAAGCAUCCUUUCUCCUCAGCUCCUGGGCAUGGGGCAGGGGGUAAGGCAGAAGUCAAAUGAUAGAAAGAAAAAACUUUUCUAGAAAGAGUUUAUCAAAGGGCAGGAGGAACAUCCCCCAGACACACAUCAGUGUUGUCCCCUUUCACAAACAGUGCUCACCAGAGCUCAGCUCUCUGACCACAAAGACAGACUCCUGGGAGCCAGAGAAAGGAUGCUUCCAGCUCCAGAACACGCCUCCAGCCUAGAGGAGUGAGACAGCUGGUUUUGAAACUGGGCCAAUGUCCCAGGGCUCCCGGGACGUGUAUAAAUUGUGCCACUACGUGACACACCCCAGAGCAGAUCCACCUUGCGGAGGGAGUUCCCUUCUGACUCUUGGUGAACGAGGAAGGACCUGAACCACAGGCCUGUCUUUGACGGCUCAGGCCCGCGCGGUGUCGGCUGGGGGCGGGCUUCAAGAGGAGGGAAGCUGCUGGGCAGACCUGGGCCUCCUGCCCCAGCCCUGGCUCCCAGCCUCCUGCCCGCCCCAGGCCCUGGCAACACCAGCCCGGGGGCCGGUUCACCUCUUCGGCCUCAUCUCCAGCUGUCUAAACUCUUCCAACCUUCAAGGCCCAGCCGCGUCGGCCCAAAGCUGCCGCCAACAGCUUCUCCGGAGCUCACGAUGUCUUUUUGCCCUGCGCUCGUUCUCUCCUAUAAUCUCUUAGCGUCUGUUCCGCAGGACAAAGACACAGCAGUUGGAGUUAGGAAAUCCAGGCCCGAGUCCCUGGUCCCACACUGGCAGGCCCUGUGACCUCGGGCAUGUCACCACACAUCCCCCAGGUACUCUCAGCCAGGCCCGGGCCAGCUCAGAGGAGCGAUGGUGAACAGUCCCUACGCUCGAGAGCUCCCAUUCCAAUGUUUGCAUCUGGAAAACAGGCACUGUAGCAGCCACCCCUCCAGCCGGCUGAGAGCAGGGAGCAAGAACAAGGCGUGAGGGGCCGCUUGUGCGCUCGAACGCGCCGGCCGAGUUCUGUUCCCUAAUAAUUCCUCCACGGACGCCUCGUCUUCCCCGUCUGCACACGGGGGUAUGAAGGCAGAUUUAUCUCAGCCCUUUCUAGCAGCCAGCAGAGCGCGAGGCAGCGCAGGCAGCAGCCAGGAGCUUGGUCUCCCGGCCAUUCUGUCUGAUUUGCAUCUUGGUGCUGUCUUUUCCCACCUUUGGGACCCUGGACAAGUUAUUCAGCUCUGUGCCUCAGUUUCCUCAUCUACAAAAUGGGAGACGACAGCGCCUAUCUCCCUUUCAUGUCCUAGGGCUGCUCUAACACGUUAAGUAUGCUCUCGCGGUUCUGGAGCCCAGGAGUCCCAGCUCGAGGUCUCGGCAGGCGGGCCGUGCUCCCUCCGAAGGCUGGAGAGGAGAAUCCUUCCCUGUCUUUCCAGCUCCUGGUGGUUCCAGGCACUCCUUGGCUUGGGCCGCAUGGCUCCCAUCUCUGCCCUGUCUUCACGGGGCUUCUCCUCCGUCUGUCUCUCCUCCGUGUGUCUUCUCUAAGGACUCCUGGCUUUGGCUGGAGGGCCCAUCCGGAUAACCCAGGAUGGUCUUGAGAUCCUUAAUUCCACCCGCAAAGGUCCUUUUCCCAAACAUGGUCAUAUUCACAGGCUCUGGAGAUUAGCACGCGGACGUCUUUUGGGGUCACCAGUCACCCCACGACAGUCGACUCAAGAGGACGCGUUCCAGGCUCAGUGCACAGCUGGGAUCGUUGUGAGCACUCGGCUGAUAGGAGCUACUGCCAUUCUGCAUCCAGAGGCUGUGUGUGAGGUUCAGCUGUGGAGACGCCCCCGACCAGCCUCACUGGGUCACAGGGAACAGAACCCGAAGAGUAGAAUGAUCGGGCACCCUUUCUCCCCAGUCUCCAGGGCUGGCAGCCUGACUUGCCAGGCUGCAUUUUCCAACUUGACCAAACUCGCUUUAGCCUUGAGACUCCGCCAUUCUCUCUGUUCUAAACCAGCUUUUUGCAGAAACCACCAAUUAUUGCAAAGUCUGCAUUUUGCUUCACUACAAUUAGGGGACCCCUGGCCGGGGGCUGAGGAGAACAAGUCAUGAAACAGCCCCAUGCAGGAGGGGAGAAACGGCCAGCAAAGGCGGUCUCGAUGGGGCAUCAUCUUGUUUAGUCUCAGGUGGAAGCCAGUUUGGCCUCAUCAGGACCAGACGAAGACCAGUGCGGGACAGAGGUGCUUCUGAGGUGGCUGGCUCGGUUCCAGGCCAGUGGAAGGACCCAAGCUCAGAGCCAGACCUGCUGUGACCUGGGGUGGAGGUGAAGCAGAAGGGGUGCCCUCAGAGAAUGCAGAAGGCACAGGGGCCCUGUGCCGGCAGAGAGGAGUUUAUGAAAUACAUUAUUACAGACGAAGUGCUUGGAGCCGUGCCUGACGUGAAGGACGCUCUUCACAAACGUCCACACCACCUCCUUCUGUCCACACCACCGUGCGCCACCUGCGUUCUCAGUCUCUCUUCAC